rnacentral:lncRNA from 1 species
CCGAAGUCUCGCCGCCCGCCGGCUGUUUUCUGGCGGAGGGUGCGCCCCGGAGGGCGGCGAGCGCGGGUGGAGGCUGCGGCCAGGCGCGGGUGGAGGCGUCGCCGGGGUCGGGCUAGCAGGCUCUGGGAUCGGGCUUGUGGGACACCCCGAAAAUAAAGACGCAGAGCCUCAGAGAAGUUAAACGAUUGAUCCUAUGUCAGGGGGUAGAGUCAAGACUCAUACCUAUGCCUUUUAACUUCAAGAUUGGACGACUGAUUAUUGGACAGAAUGGCAUCUUGUCGACACCUGCGGUCUCCUGCAUUAUCAGGAAGAUCAAGGCAGCUGGUGGAAUCAUUCUAACAGCCAGCCACUGCCCUGGAGGACCAGGGGGAGAGUUUGGAGUGAAGUUUAAUGUUGCCAAUGGAGGGCAGACUUCUUGGAGGAAGUGAAAUUUGAACUGCGAUGUGAAGAAUGAGCAGGAGUUAGUGAGGUGAAGAAGAGAGAAGGAGUGUUGCAAACACAGGUCAGUCUGUGCAAAGGCCCUGAGACACAAGGAGCCUAGAACCACGGCUCGAAGACAACCAUCUGGCUGGGGCAUGGCUCGUCUUACAGAUCACAUUAAGGAACAAAUAAUUAUGUUAAGAGUUAUGGGCUGCCAUUAAGGAUUUGGAUAAGAGAGUCUUACAAUCACAUCUGUGUUUUCUAAAGGCCUGACACUGAUUGGUACAUGGAGUACAGCCUGAAGGGAACAAGACUUGUUAGAAAGGAAGCUAUUGACUGGGUGUGGUGGCUCGUGCCUAUAAUCCCAGCACUUUGGGAGGCUGAGGUGGGCAGAUUACUUGAGGCCAGGAGUUCGAGAUCAGCCUGGCCAACACGGUGAAACCCCGUCUCUACUAAAAAUACAAAAAUUAGCAGGUUGUGGUGGUGAGCACCUAUAAUCCCAGCUGCUUGGGAGGCUGAGGCAGGACAAUUGCUUGAACCUGGGAGGCUGAGGUUG